rnacentral:rRNA from 1 species
UACGUAGGUGGCAAGCGUUGUCCGGAUUUACUGGGUGUAAAGGGCGUGUAGGCGGGAAGAUAAGUCAGGCGUGAAAACCAGAGGCUCAACCUCUGGCCUGCGUUUGAAACUGUUUUUCUUGAGUACUGGAGAGGUUGACGGAAUUCCUAGUGUAGCGGUGAAAUGCGUAGAUAUUAGGAGGAACACCAGUGGCGAAGGCGGUCAACUGGACAGCAACUGACGCUGAGGCGCGAAAGCGUGGGGAGCAAACAGG